UACAGAGGGUGCAAGCGUUGCUCGGAUUUACUGGGCGUAAAGCGUACGCAGACGGUGAGAAAGGUCGGAUGUGAAAGCCCCGGGCUCAACCCUGGAACUGCAUCCGAAACCAUCUCGCUAGAAUAUGAGAGAGGGAAGCAGAAUUCCUGGUGUAGAGGUGAAAUUCGUAGAUAUCAGGAGGAAUACCUGCGGCGAAGGCGGCUUCCUGGCUCAUUACUGACGUUCAGGUACGAAAGCGUGGGUAGCAAACAGG
rnacentral:rRNA from 1 species